AAAGUUGUUCGAAGCGGUCCCAGGCACUGCCAGGUGGCCGCUUAGACAUCAACACCCUCUGUAUAUCUACCGCGUUGCUUUGGCGGGACGGCAGCCAGCAGCUCUGCUGGGAAGCUGUCCGUGGGGCCUCUCAAGGCCCCGCGAGCGCCCGUCAGAGAACCGUCAAACUCAUGUUAAACCGUGACGUCUGAGCUUUACAAGCAAUAAGUUA
rnacentral:misc_RNA from 1 species